AUUGAACGCUGGCGGCAGGCCUAACACAUGCCAGUCGAGCGGAUGAAGGGAGCUUGCUCCUGGAUUCAGCGGCGGACGGGUGAGUAAUGCCUAGGAAUCUGCCUGGUAGUGGGGGAUAACGUCCGGAAACGGGCGCUAAUACCGCAUACGUCCUGAGGGAGAAAGUGGGGGAUCUUCGGACCUCACGCUAUCAGAUGAGCCUAGGUCGGAUUAGCUAGUUGGUGGGGUAAAGGCCUACCAAGGCGACGAUCCGUAACUGGUCUGAGAGGAUGAUCAGUCACACUGGAACUGAGACACGGUCCAGACUCCUACGGGAGGCAGCAGUGGGGAAUAUUGGACAAUGGGCGAAAGCCUGAUCCAGCCAUGCCGCGUGUGUGAAGAAGGUCUUCGGAUUGUAAAGCACUUUAAGUUGGGAGGAAGGGGAGUAAGUUAAUACCUUGCUGUUUUGACGGUACCAACAGAAUAAGCACCGGCUAACUUCGUG
rnacentral:rRNA from 1 species